rnacentral:rRNA from 1 species
GAUGAACGCUGGCGGCGUGCCUAAUACAUGCAAGUCGAGCGAACGGACGAGAAGCUUGCUUUUCUGAUGUUAGCGGCGGACGGGUGAGUAACACGUGGAUAACCUACCUAUAAGACUGGGAUAACUUCGGGAAACCGGAGCUAAUACCGGAUAAUAUUUUGAACCGCAUGGUUCAAAAGUGAAAGACGGUCUUGCUGUCACUUAUAGAUGGAUCCGCGCUGCAUUAGCUAGUUGGUAAGGUAACGGCUUACCAAGGCAACGAUGCAUAACCGACCUGAGAGGGUGAUCGGCCACACUGGAACUGAGACACGGUCCCGACUCCUACGGGAGGCCGCAGUAGGGACUCUUCCGCAAUGGGCCAAAGCCUGACGGAGCAACGCCGCGUGAGUGCUGAAGGUCUUCGGAUCGUAAAACUCUGUUAUUAGGGAAGAACAUAUGUGUAAGUACCUGUGCACAUCUUGACGGUACCUAAUCAGAAAGCCACGGCUAACUACGUG